AUCAUGGAGAGUUUGAUCCUGGCUCAGAACGAACGCUGGCGGCGCGUCUUAAGCAUGCAAGUCGAGCGGUAAGAUUGGUGCUUGCACUAAUCCUAGAGCGGCGGACUGGUGAGUAACGCGUGGGUGACGUACCUUUGUGACGGGGACAGCUCCUAGAAAUAGGAGAUAAUACCGGAUACGCUGCAUGUUGU
rnacentral:ncRNA from 1 species